rfam:Heterorhabditis bacteriophora unplaced genomic scaffold Scaffold1123, whole genome shotgun sequence.
AUUGUAAAGACAACAUAUUUCCAGGUUCCUAGAACAUACCUUGGUAUGAUCGUAGGCUCUCUUUGUGCCUUAAUGGGAGUACUAACUAUAGCCUUGCCAGUCCCAGUUAUUGUGUCCAAU